GAUGAACGCUAGCGGCAGGCCUAAUACAUGCAAGUCGAGGGGUAGUAAGUAGCAAUAUUUAUGAGACCGGCGCACGGGUGCGUAACACGUAUGCAACCUACCUUUUACUGGGGCAUAGCUCAGAGAAAUCUGAAUUAAUUCCCCAUAACACUGCAGAUCGGCAUCUUUCAGCAGUUAAAGCUCCGGCGGUAAAAGAUGGGCAUGCGGAACAUUAGCUAGUUGGUGAGGUAAUGGCUCACCAAGGCUACGAUGUUUAGGGGGUCUGAGAGGAUGAUCCCCCACACUGGUACUGAGACACGGACCAGACUCCUACGGGAGGCAGCAGUAGGGAAUAUUGGUCAAUGGACGAAAGUCUGAACCAGCCAUGCCGCGUGCAGGAUGACGGUCCUCUGGAUUGUAAACUGCUUUUAUAUGGGAAGAAACCUCUGGAUGCGUCCGGAGCUGACGGUACUAUAUGAAUAAGGAUCGGCUAACUUCGUG
rnacentral:rRNA from 1 species